GCUUCUGAAAUAAACUAUUGCAUUACUUUCAUGUUUCGCUUUGUUUGAAAUUACUUACCACUGGCGUAAAUCACUUUAUAUGUAAUUAGUUGCUUCUUACGUAAAUCACUUUAAAUGACUGAGUUUAAUACUUAAUUGUGAUUGCAUAACCAUUAUUAAAACGCUAUUUAACAAAUUUUUUUCUGAAAAUCAUUCAACGCUCGUUCAUUAUUUUUCGCGUCUAACUAAGGUGUAAACUAAAAAGAAAGUAAACAUUUUGACUGUAUGAAUUGACUGUGCAUUUAUAUUAAAAGUGUAAUAAAAAGUAAAUAAAUUAAAAAAAGAAAAGUUAUGCGGCUUGAAAGUGUUUCAACCAAACUUAUUCUCAUCUUCGGUUUAAUAAUAUUUGAGACAGUGAAUGCAGAGGUAAAAAAUAUAUUAACAAAUAUGCCAAUGUCUUGCUAUAAUAGCGUGUUUGAUGGACUGAUCUGGUUGAUUCCUACGUUUAAAAAAUUUCCAAAGAACUACUUGGACAGUAAUCAUAACGGUAAUGUUUAUAUGAGUGAAGGCAUGACUUCUAAUAAUUUCCAGAGAUGGGACAUUACUUACGUAGGACAACUUGCUUAUACAAUCCGGAAUAUAGCAACAAACCGUUGCUUAGAUAGUAAUUGGAACGGCAACGUGUAUACUCUUGCGUGUAAUGGUGGCAAUUUUCAGAAAUGGAUAAAAUCUAGUUGGCCAUCCAUUACAAAUCGGAUUUUGUUUCAAAAUAAAGCCACAUCACGAGUUUUAGAAUUAAAUGAUUGUCGAGUUAGCACAAGCUCAACGCGAACUCAGGAUACUGGCCAGUUGUGGAGUUUACAGAAUCCUAUUUAAACCUAAAUCCAAUUUUCAAAGACCUUAAAUAAUUAUAAUUUUGUAUGUAUUGGUGGAGGAGUGAAGAGUUUUCUUUGUGAUUUAUUUUCAGGAUAUAUUUAUUGUUUUUUUGUUGUUAUUUUGAUCUUGAUAUAUAAAAAUUUCAAAAAUA